AAGUCGUAACAAGGUUUCCGUAGGUGAACCUGCGGAAGGAUCAUUAGUGAAUUUUAGGGCGUCUACUUGUAGAGCCUGACCUCCACUCUCUAACACUGUGCAUUUUUUGGCGGAAUUUUUUUAGUGAUGCGAAUUUAGUUUCGGAUCACUAAAUGGUUCUGCGGCUCAUUUUAUAACACUAGUCAAAGUAUGUAACGAAAUAUCGAAACAAAAAAAAACUUUCAACAACGGAUCUCUUGGCUCUC
rnacentral:misc_RNA from 1 species